rnacentral:rRNA from 1 species
CCUACGGGAGGCUGCAGUGGGGAAUAUUGGGCAAUGGGCGCAAGCCUGACCCAGCAACGCCGCGUGAAGGAAGAAGGCUUUCGGGUUGUAAACUUCUUUUCUCAGGGACGAAGCAAGUGACGGUACCUGAGGAAUAAGCCACGGCUAACUACGUGCCAGCAGCCGCGGUAAUACGUAGGUGGCAAGCGUUAUCCGGAUUUACUGGGUGUAAAGGGCGUGUAGGCGGGACUGCAAGUCAGAUGUGAAAACCACGGGCUCAACCUGUGGCCUGCAUUUGAAACUGUAGUUCUUGAGUGCUGGAGAGGCAGACGGAAUUCCUAGUGUAGCGGUGAAAUGCGUAGAUAUUAGGAGGAACACCAGUGGCGAAGGCGGUCUGCUGGACAGCAACUGACGCUGAGGCGCGAAAGCGUGGGGAGCAAACAGGAUUAGAUACCCCAGUAGUC